rnacentral:lncRNA from 1 species
UCACAACAUCACCCCCAAAACACACACACACACACACACUCAAGGCACAUUGAUUCUUCCUCUUUCAGGGAAAUACAGACUCACCGACAGACACUCGCUCACAUACUCACACGUGCUUAGUUAUUCUUUUAAUAGGCGUUGCUUUUUUAAGAGAUUGUCAGUUCUUACUUUAUUAGGGUGAGUUAGUUGAAGAAAUGAUUAUGUGUAGAUUUUUAUUGUGGAAAGAAAGAGGGAAGGAGGGAAGGAAGGAAGGAGGGAAGGAAGGAAGGAAGGAAGGAAGGAAGGAAGGAAGGAAGGAAGGAAGGAAGGAAGGAAGUAAGUAAGGAAGGAAGGAAGGAAGGAAGGAAGAAAGAAAGAAAGAAGGAAAGAAGGAAAGAAGGAAAGAAAGAAAGAAAGAAGGAAAGAAAGAAAGAAAGAAAGAAAGAAAGAAAGAAAGAAAGAAAGAAAGAAAGAAAGAAAGAAAGAAAGAAAGAAAGAAAGAAAGAAAGAAAGAAAGAAAGAAAGAAAGAAAGAAAGAAAGAAAGAAAGAAAGAAAGAAAGAAAGAAGGAAAGGAUGGAAGGAAGGAAGGAAGGAAGGAAGGAAGGAAGGAAGGAAGGAAGGAAUGAAGGAAGGAAAGAAAGAAGGAAAGAAAGAAAGAAAGAAAGAAAGAAAGAAAGAUAGAAAGAAAGACAGAAAGAAAGAUAGACAGACAGAAAGAAAGAAAGAAAGAAAGAAAGAAAGAAAGAAAGAAAGAAAGAAAGAAAGAAAGAAAGAAAGGAAGGAAGGAAGGAAGGAAGGGAAGGAUCGAAGGUACGCACGCAAGGAAGGAAGGAAGGAAAGCUAGGGAAUGAAGGAAGGGAAGGCAGGAAGUAAGG